UGGUGUAGCGGUUAGCACUCGGGACUCUGAAUCCUGCGACGGGAGUUCAAAUCUCCC
rnacentral:tRNA from 1 species